UGAACGGUGACAUAUAUGCGGUUU
rnacentral:siRNA from 1 species